AUCUGAAUCUAUCUACACGUGGUCGGGAACCUGAGCGUCUGAAUCUAUGGUCUAACACACCAUAGCGCAAGAGAAAAGUAAGCGUCAGCACGUAUGAAUAUACUGGUAUGCAAAGUGAGGUAGGCUGAAUACAAAGGUUCACAUGCAUGAACUAUAACUGACUGAAUAACAUGAACAUGGUUAAGUGAGAAGUACAUGCA
rnacentral:lncRNA from 1 species